UAUCUCUUGGUGUAUAGCACAUAAAGUUUUGAAUUUUAAAGUAGGUAUUCUAGAGAUAA
rnacentral:tRNA from 1 species